GGCUCAGAUGAAACGCUGGCGGCAUGCCUUACACAUGCAAGUCGAACGGCAGCACGGGAGCAAUCCUGGUGGCGAGUGGCGAACGGGUGAGUAAUACAUCGGAACGUGCCCAGUAGUGGGGGAUAGCUCGGCGAAAGCCGGAUUAAUACCGCAUACGACCUACGGGUGAAAGCGGGGGACCGCAAGGCCUCGCGCUAUUGGAGCGGCCGAUGUCAGAUUAGCUAGUUGGUGGGGUAAAGGCCUACCAAGGCAACGAUCUGUAGCUGGUCUGAGAGGACGACCAGCCACACUGGGACUGAGACACGGCCCAGACUCCUACGGGAGGCAGCAGUGGGGAAUUUUGGACAAUGGGGGCAACCCUGAUCCAGCCAUGCCGCGUGCGGGAAGAAGGCCUUCGGGUUGUAAACCGCUUUUGUCAGGGAAGAAACGCGCUGAGCUAAUACCUCGGCGUAAUGACGGUACCUGAAGAAUAAGCACCGGCUAACUACGUGCCAGCAGCCGCGGUAAUACGUAGGGUGCAAGCGUUAAUCGGAAUUACUGGGCGUAAAGCGUGCGCAGGCGGCUUUGCAAGACAGAUGUGAAAUCCCCGGGCUCAACCUGGGAACCGCAUUUGUGACUGCAUGGCUAGAGUGCGGCAGAGGGGGAUGGAAUUCCGCGUGUAGCAGUGAAAUGCGUAGAUAUGCGGAGGAACACCGAUGGCGAAGGCAAUCCCCUGGGCCUGCACUGACGCUCAUGCACGAAAGCGUGGGGAGCAAACAGGACUAGAUACCCUGGUAGUCCACGCCCUAAACGAUGUCAACUGGUUGUUGGACGGCUUGCUGUUCAGUAACGAAGCUAACGCGUGAAGUUGACCGCCUGGGGAGUACGG
rnacentral:rRNA from 1 species